GACGUAGGGCGCGAGCGUUGUUCGGAAUUACUGGGCGUAAAGGCUCGUAGGCGGCCAACUAAGUCAUACGUGAAAUCCCUCAGCUUAACUGGGGAACUGCGUGUGAUACUGGAUGGCUUGGAUUUGGGAGAGGGAUGCGGAAUUCCAGGUGUAGCGGUGAAAUGCGUAGAUAUCUGGAGGAACACCGGUGGCGAAGGCGGCAUCCUGGACCAAUAUUGACGCUGAGGAGCGAAAGCUAGGGGAGCAAACGGG
rnacentral:rRNA from 1 species